rfam:Enterococcus casseliflavus EC20, complete genome.
CAUUUAGGUAGAGGUCGCGAGGUUCAUUAAUCCUGCUGAGUGAAGCAACACGUUUACAGCAGAGCUAGGGAACAUCGCCGAAACAAGAUCGGUUUUGCUUGCAUCGAUUUUGUUGGGCCGCAAAUGAACAAUUUGCGGACUGUCUUAGCUUGUCUAAGUUGCGCUAUGUUUUGU